rfam:Canis lupus familiaris chromosome 12, whole genome shotgun sequence.
GAAGUGGCUCUUCUAGGAGCCACCCCUAAUUAGUCACACAUUUUG